rnacentral:rRNA from 1 species
UACGAAGGGGGCUAGCGUUGCUCGGAAUCACUGGGCGUAAAGCGCACGUAGGCGGCUUUCUAAGUCAGGGGUGAAAUCCUGGAGCUCAACUCCAGAACUGCCUUUGAUACUGGGAAGCUUGAGUUCGGGAGAGGUGAGUGGAACUGCGAGUGUAGAGGUGAAAUUCGUAGAUAUUCGCAAGAACACCAGUGGCGAAGGCGGCUCACUGGCCCGAUACUGAAGCUGAGGUGCCAAAGCGUGGGGAGCAUACAGG